AGAGUUUGAUCCUGGCUCAGGAUGAACGCUAGCGACAGGCUUAACACAUGCAAGUCGAGGGGCAGCGGGGGCGUAGCAAUAUGCCUGCCGGCGACCGGCGCACGGGUGAGUAACACGUAUGUAACCUGCCCUAUGCAGGGGGAUAACCCGGAGAAAUCCGGCCUAAUACCGCGUAACACCUUAGGGGAGCAUUCUCUUGAGGUUAAAGGAGAGAUCCGGCAUAGGAUGGACAUGCGUCGCAUUAGGUAGACGGCGGGGUAACGGCCCACCGUGCCGACGAUGCGUAGGGGUUCUGAGAGGAAGGCCCCCCACACUGGUACUGAGACACGGACCAGACUCCUACGGGAGGCAGCAGUGAGGAAUAUUGGUCAAUGGCCGAGAGGCUGAACCAGCCAAGUCGCGUGAGGGAAGAAUGUCCUAAGGAUUGUAAACCUCUUUUGUCGGGGAGCAAAAAGGCUCUGCGGAGUCGUAUUGAGAGUACCCGAAGAAAAAGCAUCGGCUAACUCCGUGCCAGCAGCCGCGGUAAUACGGAGGAUGCGAGCGUUAUCCGGAUUUAUUGGGUUUAAAGGGUGCGCAGGCGGCGUGUCAAGCAAGCGGUAAAAUAGCGGGGCUCAACCCCGUCGAGCCGUUUGAACUGGCGCGCUUGAGUUCAGGCGAGGUAGGCGGAAUUCGUGGUGUAGCGGUGAAAUGCAUAGAUAUCACGAAGAACUCCGAUUGCGAAGGCAGCUUACCAGUCUGCGACUGACGCUCAGGCACGAAAGUGUGGGUAUCGAACAGGAUUAGAUACCCUGGUAGUCCACACAGUAAACGAUGAGCGCUAGGUGUCCGGGUCGCAUGAGACUUGGGUGCCCGAGCGAAAGCGUUAAGCGCUCCACCUGGGGAGUACGCCGGCAACGGUGAAACUCAAAGGAAUUGACGGGGGCCCGCACAAGCGGAGGAACAUGUGGUUUAAUUCGAUGAUACGCGAGGAACCUUACCCGGGCUCAAACGACUCAGGAAUAUAUUGGAAACGAUGUAGCCAGCAAUGGUCUGAGUCGAGGUGCUGCAUGGUUGUCGUCAGCUCGUGCCGUGAGGUGUCGGCUUAAGUGCCAUAACGAGCGCAACCCCUACCGCUAGUUGCCAACGGGUAAAGCCGGGAACUCUGGCGGGACUGCCGGCGCAAGCUGUGAGGAAGGCGGGGAUGACGUCAAAUCAGCACGGCCCUUACGUCCGGGGCGACACACGUGUUACAAUGGCAGGUACAGCGGGAAGCCACCUGGUGACAGGGAGCGGAACCCGAAAGCCUGUCUCAGUUCGGAUUGGAGUCUGCAACUCGACACCAUGAAGCUGGAUUCGCUAGUAAUCGCGCAUCAGCCAUGGCGCGGUGAAUACGUUCCCGGGCCUUGUACUCAAGGCCCGUCA
rnacentral:rRNA from 1 species